rnacentral:rRNA from 1 species
AGACAGUGAGUAGCUUGCUAUGAGCUGUUUUAGCGGCGGACGGGUGAGUAACGCGUGAGCAACCUUUCCCAGACAGGGGAAUAACACACCGAAAGGUGUUCUAAUACCGCAUAAGACCACGGGAUCACAUGGUUCUGAGGUAAAAGAUUUAUCGGUUUGGGGUGAGCUCGCGUCCGAUUAGGUAGUUGGUGAGGUAACGGCCCACCAAGCCAGCGAUCGGUAGCCGACCUGAGAGGGUGAUCGGCCACAUUGGAACUGAGACACGGUCCAGACUCC